CAGUCGCCGCGGUAAUACGAAGGGUGCAAGCGUUACUCGGAAUUACUGGGCGUAAAGCGUGCGUAGGUGGUGGUUUAAGUCCGUUGUGAAAGCCCUGGGCUCAACCUGGGAAUUGCAGUGGAUACUGGGUCACUAGAGUGUGGUAGAGGAUAGUGGAAUUUCCGGUGUAACAGUGAAAUGCGUAGAGAUCGGAAGGAACAUCUGUGGCGAAGGCGACUAUCUGGGCCAACACUGACACUGAGGCACGAAAGCGUGGGGAGCAAACAGGAUUAGAUACCCCUGUAGUCCCUGUCUCUUAUAC
rnacentral:rRNA from 1 species